CAAACAGACACCCUCACCGAUGCUGAGGAGGCCAUGGCGCAGGUGCUGGACCCUGCAGUUGUAGCGGGUGUGGGAUCUGGUUUAGAAUCAGAUCCUCGUCCAACACCUUCUGUGUCUGCAGCUGCUGCAGACACAGAAGUGUGUAGAAUCUUCCUUUCGGAGGAUUCUAUGACACCCGCACUUCUGCAAGGCCCAUCACAGCCCCCUCCUCACCAUCCCCGCCCUACUCCUACUCACCAGCUGGCCCCUGAAUUGGCACCUGUCCACCGUGCCCCAGAAACUCAAUCUCCCCCUGAUGUAGGAGCGGCACCUCACGCUUCCACCAGAAGACACAAGAGGGUUGAUCCACCAGUUGGGCCAAAAAUGAUGGAAAUUCAAGAAGAUAUCCUUCUUGAAGUGAGGAGGCUGAGUGGUACUAUGGACAAGGUAGCUGCAGCCUUGGAAAAAAUUGCAGUUACCUUGUCAAAAUAAGGUGACAGGUCCAAUUAGGUACCCAUUUAUCGUCCAGCCCAAAAGCGAGGAUGAACAGCCACUGCACCUUAAAGGAUCCCUCCACAGAUGCCUCCUCAGCCCCUCCCUUAGGACCAUCCAGCAGACCUCCACACCCAGCACCACCAACAUGGCCAACCACUCCGUCCAGCACCACUGUCUUUUAACAUCUAAGUUUUACUUUCUACUGGAAGUAUGCCAACAUGCAGCCUGUGCCUAAGACGGGUGACCAUUCCAAUCCUUCAGACUACAAAAGACCUUCCCAACAGAAACUACACGAUUCCAGGAUGGAGGCUGCAGAAUGCUCAACUUCAUACCUUACUAUCACUUCCA